CAUACGGGAUGCUGCAGUGAGGAAUAUUGGUCAAUGGACGAGAGUCUGAACCAGCCAAGUAGCGUGAAGGAUGACUGCCCGAUGGGUUGUAAACUUCUUUUAUAUGGGAAUAAAAUGUUCCACGUGUGGGAUUUUGUAUGUACCAUAUGAAUAAGGAUCGUCUAACUCCGUGCCAGCAGCCGCGGUAAUACGGAGGAUCCGAGCGUUAUCCGGAUUUAUUGGGUUUAAAGGGAGCGUAGGUGGAUUGUUAGGUCAGUUGUGAAAGUUUGCGGCUCAACCGUAAAAUUGCAGUUGAAACUGGCAGUCUUGAGUACAGUAGAGGUGGGCGGAAUUCGUGGUGUAGCGGUGAAAUGCUUAGAUAUCACGAAGAACUCCGAUUGCGAAGGCAGUUCACUGGACUGCAACUGACACUGAGGCUCGAAAGUGUGGGUAUCAAACAGGAUUAGAUACCCCGGUAGUC
rnacentral:rRNA from 1 species